GAUGAACGCUGGCGGCGUGCCUAAUACAUGCAAGUCGAGCGAACGGACGAGAAGCUUGCUUCUCUGAUGUUAGCGGCGGACGGGUGAGUAACACGUGGAUAACCUACCUAUAAGACUGGGAUAACUUCGGGAAACCGGAGCUAAUACCGGAUGAUAUUUUGAACCGCAUGGUUCAAAAGUGAAAGACGGUCUUGCUGUCACUUAUAGAUGGAUCCGCGCUGCACUAGCUAGUUGGUAAGGUAACGGCUUACCAAGGCAACGAUGCAUAGCCGACCUGAGAGGGUGAUCGGCCACACUGGAACUGAGACACGGUCCAGACUCCUACGGGAGGCAGCAGUAGGGAAUCUUCCACAAUGGGCGAAAGCCUGACGGAGCAACGCCGCGUGAGUGAUGAAGGUCUUCGGAUCGUAAAACUCUGUUAUUAGGGAAGAACAUAUGUGUAAGUAACUGUGCACAUCUUGACGGUACCUAAUCAGAAAGCCACGGCUAACUACGUG
rnacentral:rRNA from 1 species